UCCCAGCGGUCCGAGUCGCAACCACAAUUAUUGGGUCUAAAACCUCCGUAGCUUGCUAGAUAAGUCUCUUGUGAAAUCCGGCCUCUUAAGGGUCGAAGAGCAAGAGAUACUGUUUGGCUAGAGACCGGGAGAGGUAAGAAGUACGGUCGGGGUACCGGUAAAAUGGGUUGAUCCUGUCUGGACUAACAACAGCGAAGGCAUCUUACCAGCACGGAUCUGACAGUAAGGGAUGAAGGCUAGGGGCGCAAAAGGG
rnacentral:rRNA from 1 species